GUGGGGAAUAUUGGGCAAUGGGCGCAAGCCUGACCCAGCAACGCCGCGUGAAGGAAGAAGGUUUUCGGAUUGUAAACUUCUUUUAAGAGGGACGAAGAAAGUGACGGUACCUCUUGAAUAAGCCACGGCUAACUACGUGCCAGCAGCCGCGGUAAUACGUAGGUGGCAAGCGUUAUCCGGAUUUACUGGGUGUAAAGGGCGUGUAGGCGGGAAUGCAAGUCAGAUGUGAAAAUUAUGGGCUCAACCCAUAACCUGCAUUUGAAACUGUGUUUCUUGAGUGAUGGAGAGGCAGGCGGAAUUCCGUGUGUAGCGGUGAAAUGCGUAGAUAUACGGAGGAACACCAGUGGCGAAGGCGGCCUGCUGGACAUUAACUGACGCUGAGGCGCGAAAGCGUGGGGAGCAAACAGGAUUAGAUACCCGGGUAGUCC
rnacentral:rRNA from 1 species